rnacentral:misc_RNA from 1 species
GUGAAUCAUCAAAUUUUUGAACGCAAAUUGCGCCUUUUGCGGAAAGCAUGUCUGUUUGAGGGCACCAUUUAACAUAUAAUAUGCAGCGUGUGUUGUUGCACACUUUAAUGAGCUUUCCAAGAAUUUUAAAUUUUGGGUGGCGCAUAAUGAACAGCGGUAAAGUUUUUUUCAGUUCGAGGUUAUUAAAAUCUUUGCUGUGGUUGUGAAAAAACAUAAUCGCGCAAUGGUGGUGGCGAUUUCUU